UUUUUUUUUUUUUUACUUUUUAAUAUACUCUUAGUAUUGAUCCCGUAUCAGAUGUAUGGCUGCAAAGAUCAUCUAUUCCACAGGCUGACUCUUCUCUCUGUUGUUGCCUUCUUGUUCAGAAGUGUUAAUUCUGUGCAAUGUCAUUUGGCAGCACUUUCAGUCCCUUUAUAAAUGUUGGAGCCUUUGAGAAAAUCCUUGCAUAUACUUAUCUCUUGAAGUGUUUUCCCUGUUUCUCCCCACCCCCUUUUAGCAGUUUCAGAAUAUUGGGUCUUGAGUUCUUUGAUCAUUUUGAGCUAAUUUUUCUGCAGGGUGAAAGAUGGGGGUCUAGUUUCAUUCUUCUAUCUGUGGCCAUACAGCUUUUCCACCGUUUUCUUUGAUGAAUGUUUCUAGUACCUUGUUAAGAAUCAAGAGCCUGUAGCUGCAUGAGUUUUAUCCCAUCCCACUGGUCUUGUUUUUGUGCCCAAACUAUGCUGUAUUUGUUUUUCUGUCUUUGUAGUAUAGCGUGAAGUAGGGUAAUGUGACACCUCCAGCAUUACUCUGACUGAUCAGCAUUGCUUUGACUAUUCCUGGACUUCAUGGGUCUAUAUUCGUUUUAGAAAAUUUUUUCUAUAUCUAUGAAGGAUGCCUUUGGAAUUUUUAUAGGGACUACAUUAAAUCAGUUCUGUAGAUUGCUUCCAGAAGUAGGACAUUUUCACAUUACACACACACACACACACACACACACACACACACACACACCCCAUUUGUUUACUUUCGUGUGUUUCUAUGUGGGUGGGUGUAUAUGUGCCUUGGCAUGUGUGUGGAAGUCUGAGAACACCUUACGGGAGUCAGUUCUCUCCUACUGUGUGUGUCCUGGGGAUCAAACUCAAGUCAUCAAGCUAAGCCAUUUUGCUGACCUUAGUAGGCCAGAGAACAAAUCAUAGGAGUCAGUCUUCCACCAUUUGUGUCGUAGGGAUGGAACUGAAGUCUGCAAGCUUGGCAGGACAUUCUAGUCCACAGCUUGGUGGCACACUUCUACUAUGUGAGUUAUUUUGUAGGCCCAGUUGUCAUAGUCUUGAUGCUGUAAAUCCAUGAACAUGAGUGGUCUGUCCAUUUUCUAGUGUCUUCAUUUUCUUCAGCAUUCUAAACUUUUUAUUAAAGAGAUCUUUCACCUCCUUGGUUAGAUUUAUUCCUAGGUGUUUUUAAGGGCUAUUGAGAAUAAGAUUUGUUAUUCUUAUUUUUGUCUGGAGUUCUUUCUCAAAAUGUUCACUAAUACACAGAAACAGUACUGAUUCUUGUAUGUUGGUUUUUGUAUCUUCCUACUUUAGUGAAAGCUUAUUAGAUCUUAAGAGUUUUACGAUGGUGUCUUUAAUGUUUUCAAAUAGGGAUAAUUUAACUUCUUUCUUUUGUACUUGCUUUUUUCUUUUGCCUUAUUGCUGUGGCUAAGACAUGAAGUGUUCUGGAUAAGGGCAGAGAUAGUGGGAACAUCAUCGUCUAGUCCCUGAUCUUAAAACGAAUAUUUUAAAACUUUCCCAUGUGUUAUAAUUUUGGUGAGAUUUUUUAAAUUUAAAUUUUUUACAUUAUUUUCUCUUUCCUUUGCCUCUAAGAGGAUGCUCCCCUACCCACCCACCCACUCCCGCCUCACUGCUCUAGUAUCUCCCUUCUCUGGGGCAUCAAGCCUCCACAGGACCAAAUGCCUCCCCUUUCACUGAGCCAUGGGCCAGCCCUCAUAUAAUUUUUGGUUGGUGGUUUAACCUCUGAGAACUCUGAAGGGUCCAGUUAGUUGAUACUGUUGCAUCUUCCUAUGGGGUUACAACCCCCCUCAGCUCCUUCAGCCCUUCCUCUCACUCUUCCAUUGGGGUCCCCCAGCUCAGUCCAGUUGCUGACAGAGCCUCUCAGAGGACAGCCAUCUUGUCUGUAAGCACAUCUUGUUAUUUUUGUAUGGAGCUUUAGUUUCUUCUGCUUGUAGUUUCUUCAGGGUUUUUAGCAUGAAGAUGUUGCCUUUUCUGUAUCUCUUAUGACCAUGUAACUUCUAUCCUUGAGUCUGUUUAUGUGCUAUAUUACAUUUAUUGAUUUGUAUAUGUUAUACCAUUCUUGCAUGCCUGGAAGGAAACCAAGAUGACAGUGGUAUCUCUUUUUGGUGGGGGUUAUGGGGAUGAAGACAGGAUCUUAAUGUGUAUCCCUGGUUGUCCUGGAACUCAUUAUGUAGACCAGACUGGACUCACAGAGAUCUACCUGCCUCUGCCUCCCAAGUGCUGGGAUUAAAAGUGUGUACCACUAUGCUCAGUUUACAGUGGCAUCUUUUAAAUGUGUUGUUGAAUUCAGACUGCAAGUAUUUUGUUGAAAAUUUUUGUAUUGGCAGUGUAGUGGAGCAUGACUUUAAUCCCAGGAGAGGCAGGUGGAUCUAUGUGAGUUUGAGAUCAGCUCGGCCUACAGAGCAAGUUCCAGGACAGCCGCAGCAGUUACAUCUCUGUCUCG
rnacentral:lncRNA from 1 species